rnacentral:rRNA from 1 species
GUUCGGGGGUAAACGGACAGAGCCCGUGAAUCCGGGCGACGGAAUUCAGAAUCGACGGCGUUCGCGCGUCGCCGGUUCGAUAUUUCCGUCGCCGUAACAAUGCACGGACGUCGCGACCCGUUCGGUGUCGGUCCUACUCAUAGGAGACGUGUGAAAGUUCGUGAACGCGUGUCGGCUCGUCUGGCGCGCGUUCGCGAGUCCGCGUUUUUUUUUCUGGCCGACUCGCCGGACGGUAUGCGUAACGGUGGCCGCGGCGACCUUUCCAGCGUCGUCGUUCGGUACCGGUCCGCGACGAAUCUUCGGGCCUCUUUCCGACCCGUCUUGAAACACGGACCAAGGAGUCUAACGUGCGCGCGAGUCGCGGGGUGUCGAGUGGUUGGCGGUCGUCUUCGGGCGUUCGUCGGGCCACUCGUUACAAUACGAAACCCGUCUCGUUUUACGAAAGGCGCAAUGAAAGUGAAUUUAGGGGAAGAUGACGUUACCGAGUUCACGUUCCGCGCUCUCGAAGCGCGGCCGGUCGUCCGCAUUCCCAGGGCGUCCCAACGGCCCGGCGGCGUUGCGGACCGCCGUCUCUUCGGAGGCGGUGGUCGGGCGUCGUCGAACCGGGGCGCACCUAUAGCGUGCACGUUGGUACCCGAAAGAUGGUGAACUAUGCCCGGCCAGGAUGAAGUCAGGGGAAACCCUGAUGGAGGUCCGCAGCGAUUCUGACGUGCAAAUCGAUCGUCNGAGCUGGGUAUAGGGGCGAAAGACUAAUCGAACC